CCUUUUGUGGCUGUGACUGCCCGCCCCCACAACGCCCUUCUCUGUCUCCGUUUUCUUCCCAGUGCUCUGAACUUUUGGGCAAAUGUGUCAAGUGUGAACACAGACAAAGCUUCACUUCAAAGCUCGUGUUCAGGGCCCUUAAAGUCAUAGUUAUUGCAAAACUGCGACCGUCUGGCGAACCUGCCUUAUGUAAGGGUGCUUGAACGUAUGAUUCACCAAACAUUUCUGCCGACAUCGCAAAGUUGUUGGAGCCAGAGUAGGAGAAAGACCACCCGUUUGAGAUCAUGGCUUGACAGGGAACACUCCCUCCUGCCACCAGAAUGGGUCCAAUCUAGACAUGUCUUCUCUGGCUUCCUUGUGCCUUGCCUUAUUUGGAGGGUUGGAAUAGUGGUCUGUCUUCGUGCGUGGUGAGAUAAUCAACACCAACAUCGAAGGAAGGAAGAUCUUUGCCACAGAGGAUCCUAGUUCCAGCUCCCAGGUAUCGGCCCCAACACCUCCUAGCUUGUGGAUUGAGCUCCUGUGGAGGAAGCUAACACAGCGGUUCUCUGAAGUCUGGCAUCUGUUCUGCUCGGUUCUGUGUUCCAAGGGUCUGACGCUAAGCCUGGCCUCUUUAAAAAGCAAAACAAAAUGGAAGACGCCCUGGAGGUGAGUUCUGGGAAGUUAGUAUUCGGAAGAAAGGUCGCUCUCCAGGAAGAAUUUCUGAGCCAGGCGAAACGUUGCUUCAGUCACACAAGAAUGAAACAGCCUUCUGACACCCCUACUACCACCACUACCACCCUUCACGUGAGUGAACUUGGAACACAGGCUGGCCCUGUUUAGACCAUGCUCAUUCUGAGAUACACAGGCUCAUGGAUGAGCAACAAUGUUGUUAAAAGCAGCCAGUGGUGACUGUGGCCUUUUAACUUCUCAGCUGAGAAAGGAAAGACAGCAGGUGCCUUUACACUGCAAAACAAGAGCUUCUUGAUGACGAUUUUGUGCAAUGCAUUGUGACCAUACUUAAGGUGCAUCCAGUUAGACAUGCUCAGUUCUCAGUGACCCACAAAGAGGGAGGUGACUAUAAAAUGAAACAACUCAAAUACCUUGGGAUGGAUGGAGCUUAGGGAAGAAGAGCUCAGACACAGACAGCAGGGAAGGCCACUUAUGCCAAGAUAAAGUGUAAAUAUUUUAUCCGGGGGACGGCAGGGACAGGAUGGGCACAGGCGAGAAUGGUAUGUAUCCACAGCUCCACACAUACCUACUUCUAUCCACGCCUGUAUGUUGGCAUAAAUGUUAUCAGAUUUCUUAGAGUCUAAUUUUAAAGCCGCUACUGACACCUUUCUGUGGGGCAGGAUAAAAGAGAGCGGACAGCGAACCUGCAUUUUGAGAAGAAGCCUCUUUGCAUCCCACAUUUAAGAUCCCUCUUGGCUGUGAAAGAAAACCAAAGAUACAAAACCACACAGACGCAGAGCUUCAUGGAUGAUGGUAAGGAUGUUGGAUCAGAGCUGCCCUCUUCCCGCCUCAGGAACCACUCUUUUGGCAUAAAAUCAUUGCCUCCUUGCAUUCCCUUCUAGGUAGCCAUCUGAAUGUGUGGCCCUCAACACUGCAGGUUAACAUUGUCCCUUCUCUUGGAAAUUGUUUGAUAUCCUAUCAAGUAAUUUCUAAUACUG
rnacentral:lncRNA from 1 species